rnacentral:rRNA from 1 species
CGGGACGGGUGAGUAACGCGUGAGUAACCUGCCUGUAAGAGGGGGAGUAACACAGAGAAAUCUGUGCUAAUACCGCAUAUUGAAGUUUUUCCGCAUGGGGAAGCUUUGAAAGAUUUAUCGCUUACAGAUGGACUCGCGUCUGAUUAGAUAGUAGGCGGGGUAACGGCCCACCUAGUCGACGAUCAGUAGCCGAACUGAGAGGUUGAUCGGCCACAUUGGGACUGAGACACGGCCCAGACUCCUACGGGAGGCAGCAG